rnacentral:rRNA from 1 species
CGCGUAGGCGGUGCGGUAAGUCUCUUGUGAAACCUCUGGGCUUAACUCAGAGCCUGCAGGAGAAACUGCCGUGCUGGAGUGUGGGAGAGGCGAGUGGAACUCCCGGUGUAGCGGUGAAAUGCGUAGAUAUCGGGAGGAACACCAGUGGCGAAGGCGGCUCGCUGGACCACAACUGACGCUGAGGCGCGAAAGCUAGGGGAGCAAACAGGAUUAGAUACCCUGGUAGUCCUAGCCUUAAACGAUGAAUGCUUGGUGUGAUCGGUAUCCAAUCCGAUCGUGCCGUAGUUAACGCGAUAAGCAUUCCGCCUGGGGAGUACGGUCGCAAGGCUGAA